AUAAGAUUCUGUUUGGCAGUCCCGAGGCCUGGCUGAGCGCGAAGUGGGAGGACAUGCUAGCCACCGAUGUAUACAAGACCAACCUGAUCGGCGUAUACUAGUUGUCGAUGAAGUCCAUCUUACUUAUAUAAAUGGAGGAAGGCUGAGAAAGGACGGAAGGCUUUUAGGGAAAGCUUUGCGAGGUUGGGGAACUGAGAGCCAUCGUGAAACCAGAAACACCGGUACUGGCAUUGACUGUGUCUGCGGAAUUGCACUCAAGAGAAAUUGUCAGGAGACCGCUCCAACUCCAAAACCCAGUUGACAUCAUUGCCAGCCCCAAUCGACCCAACAUCAGACUCUCCAUAAGACGACUUUCGAGUGAGUCACUGGACUGUUUCGACUGGCUCGUGAAGGACUUGACAGAGAAAGGAGUGGAGAUGUCACCAGUCAAUAUAUACUGCCGGACAAUAAACACGAGGGAGAAAACGAUGCUUAAAGAAAGUCUAAAUGGCUGCUUUAGGAAAGCCCUGUAUGUACAUUUUGAGCCUCACGUGUCCAGUGUGGAGCCUGGCCAUUCCUGCUGCACCUAUUGCCACUCAU